UUUCCGUAGGUGACCCUGCGGAAGGAUCAUUAUUGUAUAACCGAGGUGCGAGGGCUGUCGCUGACCCGAAAGGUCGUGCACGCCCGAGUGCCCUCACACACAUCCAUCUCACCCCUAUGUGCACCACCGCGUGGGUCCCCCUUUGGCUUGUUCGGAGGGGGGCUUACGUUUUCACACAAACUUUGUAUGCAGUGUAGAAUGUAUUUUUUGUUUUUGCGAUCACGCAAUCAAUACAACUUUCAACAACGGAUCUCUUGGCUCUC
rnacentral:misc_RNA from 1 species